rnacentral:rRNA from 1 species
UACGUAGGGGCAAGCGUUGGUCCGGAUUUAUUGGGCGUAAAGAGCUCGUAGGCGGUUCGCUAAGUCGGGUGUGAAAACUCGUGGGCUCAACUCAGAGACGCCACCCGAUACUGGCGUGACUCGAGUUCGGUAGGGGAGACUGGAAUUCCUGGUGUAGCGGUGAAAUGCGGCAGAUAUCAGGAGGAACACCGGUGGCGAAGGCGGGUCUCUGGGACGGUACUGACGCUGAGACGCGAAAGCGUGGGAGGCGAACAGG